rnacentral:rRNA from 1 species
AGUGAACGCUGGCGGUAGGCCUAACACAUGCAAGUCGAACGGCAGCACAGUAAGAGCUUGCUCUUACGGGUGGCGAGUGGCGGACGGGUGAGGAAUACAUCGGAAUCUACUUUUUCGUGGGGGAUAACGUAGGGAAACUUACGCUAAUACCGCAUACGACCUACGGGUGAAAGCAGGGGAUCUUCGGACCUUGCGCGAUUGAAUGAGCCGAUGUCGGAUUAGCUAGUUGGCGGGGUAAAGGCCCACCAAGGCGACGAUCCGUAGCUGGUCUGGGAGGAUGAUCAGCCACACUGGAGCUGAGACACGGUCCAGACUCCUACGGGAGGCAGCAGUGGGGAAUAUUGGACAAUGGGCGCAAGCCUGAUCCAGCCAUACCGCGUGGGUGAAGAAGGCCUUCGGGUUGUAAAGCCCUUUUGUUGGGAAAGAAAUCCAGCCGGCUAAUACCUGGUUGGGAUGACGGUACCCAAAGAAUAAGCACCGGCUAACUUCGUGCCAGCAGCCGCCGUAA